rnacentral:rRNA from 1 species
CCUACGGGUGGCAGCAGUGGGGAAUAUUGGGCAAUGGGCGCAAGCCUGACCCAGCAACGCCGCGUGAAGGAAGAAGGCUUUCGGGUUGUAAACUUCUUUUAUCAGGGAAGAGUAUAAGACGGUACCUGACGAAUAAGCCACGGCUAACUACGUGCCAGCAGCCGCGGAAAUACGUAGGUGGCAAGCGUUGUCCGGAUUUACUGGGUGUAAAGGGCGUGUAGCCGGGGUGACAAGUCAGAUGUGAAAUCCUGCGGCUUAACCGCGGAACUGCAUUGGAAACUGUUGAUCUUGAGGACUGGAGAGGCAGACGAAAUUCCUGGUGUGGCGGGGAAAUGCG